ensembl:lncRNA
GGAGCGCUGUCGGCGAGCACAUGCUUGGUGAAACAUUUCGUCCAGACCUGUUCACGUUUCGCUCGGAACCAUGAACUGGCACGGUCGCUGGAGCCUCAAGUUUGCGUUUCUGACAGCGAUGCACGCCUUGUUGUCAUCGGCGUCCUCGCUGCUGCACGCCGUGGAUGAUGUGCGCUCGGAACCCUUGCAAGAUUCUAAGCGUAAUGCAAACGCGUAAACCCGAGCAAGACCACCAAUGACCCCCCAGCCUUGACGUUCUGUCUCCCAGAAAAAGAGCAGCGUGAUAACUUUUGUAUCACUAUGUGAUUCAGCCCAAGGUGGUAUACAUGUGGGGCGCGCGCGCACAC